rnacentral:ncRNA from 1 species
UAUACAGGGGAGCUUGUCGGCAGGCUGAGAGGAAGUAAUCAACUUCGACCCUUAAACCUGAUCUGGGUAAUGCCAGCGGAGGAAAUG